UUAUCGUACCACCGAGGUGCAAGGGCUGUCGCUGACCUUUGAAGGUCGUGCACGCCCGAGCGCUCUCGCCACAAUCCAUCUCACCCCUUUGUGCAUCACCGCGUGGGUCCCCCUUUGCGGGGAGGGCUCGCGUUUUCACACAAAACUUGAUACAGUCUAGAAUGUUUAUUUUUGCGGUAACACGCAAUCAAUACAACUUUCAACAACGGAUCUCUUGGCUCUCGCAUCGAUGAAGAACGCAGCGAAAUGCGAUACGUAAUGUGAAUUGCAGAAUUCAGUGAAUCAUCGAAUCUUUGAACGCACCUUGCGCCCCUUGGCAUUCCGAGGGGCACACCCGUUUGAGUGUCGUGAAAUUCUCAAAAUCCUUUUCUUUGAUCGGAAUAGGACUUUUGGACUUGGAGGUUCAAUGCUCGCUUUCGCCUUUGAAAGCGAGCUCCUCUCAAAUGAAUCAGUGGGGUCCGCUUUGCUGGUCCUUGACGUGAUAAGAUGCUUCUACGUUUUGGAUUUGGCAUUGUUUUCUCCGCUCCUAACUGUCCCCAUGGGACAACGAUGGUGCUUCGGUCGUCGC
rnacentral:rRNA from 1 species